GUCAGAUUGCUUAUGUUUUCAGGCUUAGGUAAAUUCUCUAGAUCAGAAAUCAGACAACUUACAUUGGCACCUUUGGGCCACUAGGUGGAGACUGCGAACAGCCUCCAGGGUAGCUGCGGAUGUGCAGAAUCGGCAGCUGCGCAGUGGAGGAAAUGGAGGAUCCGAUGCUGGCAAGGUCGUUCACCCUCAGGAUGAAACCCGCUGAAGAAGAGAUCAACCCAAAGAUACAUGCAGAUUGGUUUCAGAAUCAGAAGAUCAUACUGAGGAAGCGAUGUUACCAAAUAAAUGCUGCAUUAUCAGGCAAAACUUUUUCAAUUUCGGAUUGGAAUGUCCAGUCAUUUUCCAAGGUACCUGGGUCAGGUCCCCUUUCACCACUGCUUUCAGAAAUCAGGGAGCUUUCAUAUAUUCAUAAAAGAGUUACACUGUUUCACAAAUAUUACUUUGUAGGAAAAUCCACAUUGAUGUUUCUAGAGAUUGUGGGCUUAUUAUUUAUGUUAUAAAAUUGUGUAAAUGUCCAAAAUAAUAUUAUACAAAUUAUUUUCAUUGCUCAGGACAUCCUUCUCCGUGGUCUAUACAUUCUUCAUUAGAGCCUUUCUCCUUACCUAGUUCCUUUGGUGAUGAGGAUUGUAGGCUGGUAAUCCUUUGCUCUAUUUCCAAAAUUCAUAAAUGAGGGAGUACAUACCAUAUUUGUCUUUUUGUGCCUGGGUAACAGGAGGAAAUGGCGGAGCUGGAAUUUUGAGUCAGGGGAAGAAUAGAGGAGAGAGAACAGGAUGAGAGUUCCAUUAACAGAGGGGGGCCUUUAUAGGUUCAAGGAGAGAUCUGGCACUAGUGAGAUUUGCAGAGAUCUCCAAGAAUGACACCAACUGACAAUCUAGGCAGUGGUGGAGAGGCUACCCUAAAUGCCCUUCCCCUGUAAUGAGACUGAUGACUGCUUUAUAUGACAUCCUAGAGCCCUCAUCCAGUGGCUGAUGGAAGCAGAGGAAGACACCCACAGCUAAACACUGGACUGAACUCCUGGAAUCCGUUGCAGAGAGGAGAGGUGAAGAGCAAAGAGGUGAGGACCCAGCU
rnacentral:lncRNA from 1 species